UACAGAGGGUGCAAGCGUUGUUCGGAAUUAUUGGGUCGUAAAGCGCGCGUAGGCGGCCUUGCAAGUUGGGUUGUGAAAGGCCCUCGCCUUAACCGAGGAAGUGCGCCCGAAAACUACAAGGCUUGAAUACCGGAGAGGAUGGUGGAAUUCCCGGUGUAGAGGUGAAAUUCGUAGAUAUCGGGAGGAACACCAGUGGCGAAGGCGACCCUCUGGACGGCUAUUGACGCUGAGACGGACGAAA
rnacentral:rRNA from 1 species